rnacentral:rRNA from 1 species
GAGAACUGCGUUNUGAACUGGGUGACUAGAGUGUGUCAGAGGGAGGUAGAAUNCCACGUGUAGCAGUGAAAUGCGUAGAGAUGUGGAGGAAUACCGAUGGCGAAGGCAGCCUCCUGGGAUAACACUGACGUUCAUGCCCGAAAGCGUGGGUAGCAAACAGGAUUAGAUACCCUGGUAGUNCACGCCCUAAACGAUGUCGAUUAGCUGUUGGGCAGCAUGACUGCUUAGUAGCGAAGCUAACGCGUGAAAUCGACCGCCUGGGGAGUACGGUCGCAAGAUUAAAACUCAAAGGAAUUGACGGGGACCCGCACAAGCGGUGGAUGAUGUGGAUUAAUUCGAUGCAACGCGAAGAACCUUACCUGGUCUUGACAUGUACGGAACCCUCCAGAGACGGAGGGGUGCCUUCGGGAGCCGUAACACAGGUGCUGUAUGGCUGUCGUCAGCUCGUGUCGUGAGAUGUUGGGUUAAGUCCCGCAACGAGCGCAACCCUUGUCAUUAGUUGCCAUCAUUAAGUUGGGCACUCUAAUGAGACUGCCGGUGACAAGCCGGAGGAAGGUGGGGAUGACGUCAAGUCCUCAUGGCCCUUAUGACCAGGGCUUCACACGUCAUACAAUGGUCGGUACAGAGGGUAGCCAAGCCGCGAGGUGGGGCCAAUCUCACAAAACCGAUCGUAGUCCGGAUUGCACUCUGCAACUCGAGUGCAUGAAGUCGGAAUC